UGAUAUCUUGAUCUCAACCUUAUUUUUUAAUUUAAAUUUAGCCUUUUCUAAGCUAGUUCUUUCUCAUUAGGAAUGCAGGUCUAAAUUGUCUAUAAUAUUUUAUAAAAAUUCAGAUCUUUGGGUUCUUAUCCAGACUUACUGAAUCACUUUUGAUAUUUUCUUGGUGUAUUCUCUCUCUUUUUUUUUUGUUAUGUUCUUGAUAAUUUAUAUUUUUAAUGCUUCAGGAUUAUUUUACAUUAUAUGUCAACAAUUUUCCUCUCCAUUGAAAUAUUCAUUGACUUUGAAAAUACAUUUAAUCAUUGCCCUUAAUGAUAUCUUGUCAAAUUUUGAGGAAGUCACUAUUUUACCUUAUUUUGCAUGCUACAGAAACACCCAUUUCCUUGUCAUUUGCAUUAUUUUUGUUGUGAAGAUUUUUCAUAGUGUCCACAAAAAAAUUAUCAGUGAUUAAUUAGCAAUGACUGUUUAACAUCUGCCAUUUACACAUGGAUUUUAUCUUACUCUGAUGCUGACCAAAGGCCCUGCAAUCAACUACAGACCAGAGUUUCUUUCUUCAUCAAAGAAAGACCAUGUCAAAGCCCUGUGAAAAGAGAGAGGAGGAAGACCCAGAAAGACCAACACAAUAUUGAAGGAGGAUAACAAAGUUGGAGGACAGAAACUGCUUGACUUCAAGACUUACAAUAAAGCUGAAGUAAUAAAAA